AAGGGCACCACAAGAACGCGUGGAGCAUGUGGCUUAAUUUGACUCAACGCGGGAAAUCUUACCGGGUCCGGACACACUGAGGAUUGACAGGCGUUAUUAUAGAUAGUUUACACUCUGUGUGAAUUUAAUCUAUAUGUUAAAUAUGCUAGUCCUUUCAUGAUUAUGUGAUAGGUGGUGCAUGGCCGUUCUUAGUUNGUGGAGUGAUCUGUAUGCUUAAUUGCGUUUCACUAAGGGCCUAUAUUAUUAUAGCAUGUUGCAGGCGCAUUGACCCCUCACCUUAAUCAGGUGUUUGCGCGUGUCUUUGACUUACGUCUUGCCCAUGCGUUUAGGUCCUGAAGCAACGAACGUGACCGCAACCUCUUGUUGCCUUCACUAUACCCAUGACUGUAUUGGCAGCGCUUAACUGCGCUCGUUAAUUGCAGAUCAAUACGAAGGCCUUUUUAAACUAGAGGGACCGCUGUUAUCUUCUUAAACCAGAGGAAGGUUGCGGCAAUAACAGGUCUGUGAUGCCCUUAGAUGUUCCGGGCUGCACACGUGCUACAAUGAUCGUUGCAGUGAGCAUCUCAUUUACUUAUACAUCGCAUGCGCGAGUCCGUUCAUUCUGUCAGUCGUAGUUUCUGCUGCGGCACAGUUUUAAACGUGUAUCUCUGCGCGCGAUAAAGCCUGCUUUGAAAGUUUAGUGGGUAAUCAAUUAGAAGUUACGAUUUCCAAGUUAUAGCACACUUAUGUACGGCAUCUUUACCCAGCUAGCCUUUGUGCUAGUCUUUGUGCGUAAAGAUGGAUUAUGCGGUUUGUUUUAUUACAACCACUAUUUGAUCUACGAUUAUCCAUCGUACCGUACGUGCAAUUGUCAAUUCAUGGUGGGGACAGACCAUUGUUAAUUGUUGGUCUCGGUCUUAACUAGGAAUGCCUUGUACGGUCUUUGGUUCAUCAAACCACCCGGAAUACGUCCCUGCCCUUUGUACACACCGCCCGUCGCUCUCACCGAUGGACUUCUCUGUGAGUUUGGGGACUGGGUCACUUUUUAGACCCAUGGAAACUUAAACGAACAGUGUGGUCUAAAGGAAAGAGAAGUCGUAACAAGGCAUCGGUAGGUGAACCU
rnacentral:rRNA from 1 species